rnacentral:rRNA from 1 species
GAGUUUGAUCAUGGCUCAGAUUGAACGCUGGCGGCAGGCUUAACACAUGCAAGUCGAACGAUCUAUUAGGGCUUGCUCUAAUAGAUAGUGGCGAACGGGUGAGUAACACCUAGGAAUCUGCCUUAUAGUGGGGGAUAACGUUCGGAAACGAACGCUAAUACCGCAUACGUCCUACGGGAGAAAGGGGGCAUUUAUGCUCUCGCUAUUAGAUGAGCCUAGGUCAGAUUAGCUAGUUGGUAGGGUAAAGGCCUACCAAGGCUACGAUCUGUAGCGGGUCUGAGAGGAUGAUCCGCCACACUGGAACUGAGACACGGUCCAGACUCCUACGGGAGGCAGCAGGGGGAAUAUUGGACAAUGGGGGAAACCCUGAUCCAGCCAUGCCGCGUGUGUGAAGA